GACAGAGGGUGCAAACGUUGUUCGGAUUUACUGGGCGUAAAGCGCGUGUAGGCGGCUUGGCAAGUCGGAUGUGAAAGCCCACGGCUCAACCGUGGAAGCGCAUCCGAAACUGCUUCGCUCGAGUCUCGGAGAGGAAGGUGGAAUGCUUGGUGUAGAGGUGAAAUUCGUAGAUAUCAAGCAGAACACCUGCGGCGAAGGCGGCCUUCUGGACGAUGACUGACGCUGAGGCGCGAAAGCGUGGGGAGCAAACAGG
rnacentral:rRNA from 1 species